rnacentral:rRNA from 1 species
UACAGAGGGGGCAAGCGUUGUUCGGAAUUACUGGGCGUAAAGGGCGCGUAGGCGGCCUGUUAAGUCGAACGUGAAAUCCCCGGGCUCAACCCGGGAACUGCGUCCGAUACUGGCAGGCUUGAAUUCGGGAGAGGGAUGUGGAAUUCCAGGUGUAGCGGUGAAAUGCGCAGAUAUCAGGAGGAACACCGGUGGCGAAGGCGGAUCUCUGGGCCGUAACUGACGCUGAGGAGCGAAAGCAUGGGGAGCGAACAGG